rnacentral:tRNA from 1 species
GCAUGGGUAGUUCAGUGGUAGAAUUCUCGCCUUCCACGCAAGAGACCAGGGUUCAAUUGCCAGACAGUGCA